rnacentral:tRNA from 2 species
GUCCUAGUAGCUCAGUGGAUAGAGCAACCGCCUCCUAAGCGGUAGGUCGCAGGUUCAACUCCCGCCUAGGACAC